CGUUUUUAAAUGCGUUAAUUUAUAUUUUUAUCUUUUUUUCGUCUGUUAUUUCAAGGCUGAAAAUAUUUCUUAUCAAUGUUUUCAAGAAAUUGGAAGUUUGCAGCAUGUCAUAUUUGAUAUGUUUCGAUUUGAUGUUCUUACUAAUUUAUUAUUCGAUAAUCGAAAUUAUGGCGGGAGAUGUCAUUGUAUCGAUAAUCAUAAGUUUAUGAUCACGACAGUUCAGAUCGUCAUUUUUUCUUGAGAUUAUUAAUUGAUUGUUGGAAUGAUGGAAAGAUUUCAAUAUGAACGCCAUAACGAUUAAUAACUUCAAGAAAUGUUUCUCAUACUUGAUGACUAUUUCGCAAUGAUAUCCUAAUAUUGAUGACAGCAUUAACAUCGCAUUUAUUGGUAAGUCAUACAUUUAUAUUUUUUUU